rnacentral:rRNA from 1 species
UACAGAGGGUGCGAGCGUUACUCGGAAUUACUGGGCGUAAAGCGCGCGUAGGCGGCUUUGCAAGUCGGGUGUGAAAUCCCCAGGCUCAACCUGGGAACUGCAUUCGAGACUGCAUUGCUAGAGUAUGGGAGAGGGAAGUGGAAUUUCCGGUGUAGCGGUGAAAUGCGUAGAUAUCGGAGGGAACAUCAGUGGCGAAAGCGACUUCCUGGACCAAUACUGACGCUCAUGUGCGAAAGCGUGGGGAGCAAACAGG